rnacentral:rRNA from 1 species
GACGAACGCUUGCGGCGUGCCUAAGAAAUGCAAGUCGAGCGGGGGUGGGGGUUUCGGCCCCCGCCCUAGCGGCGAACGGUCGCGUAACACGUAAGCAACCUGCCGGGGAGACCGGGACAACACCCCGAAAGGGGUGCUAAUACCGGAUGGGGCCGCGGGGGGGCAUCCUUCCGCGAUCAAAGCCUGGACAAGGGCUUCCCGAGGGGCUUGCGGCCUAUCAGCUAGUUGGUGGGGUAACGGCCUACCAAGGCGACGACGGGUAGCUGGUCUGAGAGGA